UACGUAGGGUGCGAGCGUUCAUCGGAAUUACUGGGCGUAAAUCGUGCGCAGGCGGUUUUGUAAGCCAGAUGUGAAAUCCCCAGGCUCAACUUGGGAACUGCGUCUGAUACUGGAUGGCUUGAAUUCGGGAGAGGGAUGCAGAAUUCCAGGUGUAGCGGUGAAAUGCGUAGAUAUCUGGAGGAAUACCGGUGGCGAAGGCGGCAUCCUGGACCGAGAUUGACACUGAUGAGCGAAAGCUAGGGGAGCAAACGGG
rnacentral:rRNA from 1 species